rnacentral:rRNA from 1 species
AAAAAUUUACAUUACACACUGGAUUUGACGCCAACACAAAAAAAUGUUAUACACAAUCAAAAUCUUGAAAAAUCAAAACUUUCAACAACGGAUCUCUUGGUUCUCGCAUCGAUGAAGAACGCAGCGAAUUGCGAUACGUAGUAUGACUUGCAGACGUGAAUCAUCGAAUCUUUGAACGCACAUUGCGCCUCGAGGUAUUCCUCGAGGCAUGCCUGUUUGAGCGUCGGCACCCCCUCUAACCCUCGGGUUAGGCGUUGACACGAAAUUUCAAGCGGUUCCGCAUCAAUUACACGUUUUUGAUGACGCCCCUCAUAUUUUUCGCCCUCAAAUCAGGUAGGACUACCCGCUGAACUUAAGCAUAUCAAUAAGCGGAGGAA